AGUGAACGCUGGCGGUAGGCCUAACACAUGCAAGUCGAACGGCAGCACAGUAAGAGCUUGCUCUUACGGGUGGCGAGUGGCGGACGGGUGAGGAAUACAUCGGAAUCUACUUUUUCGUGGGGGAUAACGUAGGGAAACUUACGCUAAUACCGCAUACGACCUACGGGUGAAAGCAGGGGAUCUUCGGACCUUGCGCGAUUGAAUGAGCCGAUGUCGGAUUAGCUAGUUGGCGGGGUAAAGGCCCACCAAGGCGACGAUCCGUAGCUGGUCUGAGAGGAUGAUCAGCCACACUGGAACUGAGACACGGUCCAGACUCCUACGCGAGGCAGCAGUGGGGAAUAUUGGACAAAGGGCGCAAGCCUGAUCCAGCCAUACCGCGUGGGUGAAGAAGGCCUUCGGGUUGUAAAGCCCUUUUGUUGGGAAAGAAAAGCAGCAGGUUAAUACCCCGCUGUUCUGACGGUACCCAAAGAAUAAGCACCGGCUAACUUCGUG
rnacentral:rRNA from 1 species